rnacentral:snRNA from 1 species
GAAUGUGAGGGUGAUCUGGCUGCAGUAUCUAUCACCCCGUUGAUCACCAUGGUUGAUUUGGUUGAUUUGGUAAUCUGGCUGGCUAGGCAGGUGUCCCUUUCCUCCCUCAAUGCUCCAUAUAUGUCCCUCCAGAAGCUGCAUACUCGGUGGAAGAGGAGGACCACCCCCAACAGAAGAGGACUGUUCCUCUGUCAAGGGUAUACAAGUAGCUGGCUCCCCUGCUAGAACCUCCAAACAAGCUGUCAAGAAAUAUUUUUGUUUACACAGAAGUCCAGAAAUCUAACCAUACAAAACCUUGUAGCAGGACAGUCCCACAACAUUCCUUUUCCUGUCUCCUGCCUUCA